UUUACCUACGGGAGGCAGCAGUGGGGAAUAUUGCACAAUGGGGGAAACCCUGAUGCAGCGACGCCGCGUGAGAGAAGAAGUAUUUCGGUAUGUAAAGCUCUAUCAGCAGGGAAGAUAAUGACGGUACCUGACUAAGAAGCUCCGGCUAAAUACGAGCCAGCAGCCGCGGUCAUACGUAUGGAGCAAGCGUUAUCCGGAUUUACUGGGUGUAAAGGGAGCGCAGACGGCAAGGCAAGUCUGAUGUGAAAGUACGAGGCUCAACCUCGGGACUGCAUUGGAAACUGUCUGGCUAG
rnacentral:rRNA from 1 species